rnacentral:lncRNA from 1 species
GCCAUUGUGUGUCUAUGGGGUCCCUAUGGGGCCGAUGUGUAUCUAUGGGGUCCCUAUAGGGCCCUUAUGUGUCU